rnacentral:lncRNA from 1 species
AUGAAUGCAUUAGAUUCAUUUAUCUUCCUCUUCAUUCCUCCCUUUAUUCAUACUCCCUCUCCCUUACCUCUCUCUCUCUGCUCCUCCCUCUCUCUCUCUCUCUCUCUCUCCCCUCCUCCCUCUCACUUACCUCUCUCUCUCUGCUCCUCCCUCUCACUUACCUCUCUCUCUCCCCUCCUCCCUCUCACUUACCUCUCUCUCUCUGCUCCUCCCUCUCACUUACCUCUCUCUCUCCUCCUCCCUCUCACUUACCUCUCUCUCUCUCUGCUCCUCCCUCUCACUUACCUCUCUCUCUCUGCUCCUCCCUAUCACUUACCUCUCUCUCUCCCCUCCUCCCUCUCACUUACCUCUCUCUCUCUCCCCUCCUCCCUCUCACUUACCUCUCUCUCUCCCCUCCUCCCUCUCACUUACCUCUCUCUCUCUGCUCCUCCCUCUCACUUACCUCUCUCUCUCCCCUCCUCCCUCUCACUUACCUCUCUCUCUCUGCUCCUUCCUCUCACUUACCUCUCUCUCCCCUCCUCCCUCUCACUUACCUCUCUCUCUCUCUGCUCCUCCCUCUCACUUACCUCUCUCUCUCUGCUCCUCCCUAUCACUUACCUCUCUCUCUCCCCUCCUCCCUCUCACUUACCUCUCUCUCUCUCCCCUCCUCCCUCUCACUUACCUCUCUCUCUCUCCCCUCCUCCCUCUCACUUACCUCUCUCUCUCCCCUCCUCCCUCUCACUUACAUCUCUCUCUCUCUGCUCCCUCCCCUCCCUCAUCCCUCUCCCUCUCACUUACCUCUCUCUCUCCCCUCCUCCCUCUCACUUACCUCUCUCUCUCUGCUCCCUCCCCUCCCUCAUCCCGCUCCCUCCCCUCCCUCAUCCCUCUCCCUCUCACUUACCUCUCUCUCUCCCCUCCUCCCUCUCACUUACCUCUCCCUCCCCUCCCUCAUCCCUCUCUGCUCCCUCCCCUCCCUCAUCCCUCUCUCUCUCCCCUCCUCCCUCUCCCUCUCACUUACCUCUCUCUCUCUGCUCCCUCCCCUCCCUCAUCCCUCUCUCUCCUCACUUCGUCUCCCUCCCUCCUCCCUCUCUCUCCUCCCUUCGUCUCUCCUCCCUUCCCUUGCUCCACCCUCUCUCUCUCCCCUCCUCCCUCUCGCUCUCUCUCUCUCUCUCUCUCCUCCCUCUCUCCACCCUCUCUUUCUCCCCCCUCUCCCUCUCCUCCCUCUCUCCACCCUCUUUCUCCCCCCUCUCUCUCUUUCCCCCUCAAUCUCUAUCCCUCUCUCUCCCCCCUCCCCCUGUCUCCCUGUAG